CCGAAUGGGGAAACCCAGUGUGAUUCGUCACACUAUCAUUAACUGAAUCCAUAGGUUAAUGAGGCGAACCGGGGGAACUGAAACAUCUAAGUACCCCGAGGAAAAGAAAUCAACCGAGAUUCCCCCAGUAGCGGCGAGCGAACGGGGAGGAGCCCAGAGCCUGAAUCAGCAUGUGUGUUAGUGGAAGCGUCUGGAAAGGCGCGCGAUACAGGGUGACAGCCCCGUACACAAAAGCGCAUGUGCUGUGAGCUCGAUGAGUAGGGCGGGACACGUGGUAUCCUGUCUGAAUAUGGGGGGACCAUCCUCCAAGGCUAAAUACUCCUGACUGACCGAUAGUGAACCAGUACCGUGAGGGAAAGGCGAAAAGAACCCCGGCGAGGGGAGUGAAAAAGAACCUGAAACCGUGUACGUACAAGCAGUGGGAGCCCCACCACCAAAGCAUUCUCUGGUGUUGAAGGCCCUGCAAAGCAGCAUCGCGGUGGCGGAGCGUCGUUUGCGACGCCCAACACACAAAACAAGCGGUGAAUGCUUUGGGGUGGGGUGACUGCGUACCUUUUGUAUAAUGGGUCAGCGACUUAUAUUCUGUAGCAAGGUUAACCGAAUAGGGGAGCCGGAGGGAAACCGAGUCUUAAUUGGGCGUUAAGUUGCAGGGUAUAGACCCGAAACCCGGUGAUCUAGCCAUGGGCAGGUUGAAGGUUGGGUAACACUAACUGGAGGACCGAACCGAC
rnacentral:rRNA from 1 species